rnacentral:snoRNA from 1 species
CAAAUGAUGUACCGUUUUUGCUUUACCGGAUUCUGCCCUGUGAUGAUGCUCUCCCACUGACC